AUGGUCCCAAAGCCACACGCCAAGUCGGCCAAGAAGGCUCUUCGCAAGAAGAAGGUGCACCUCAAGUUCAACGUUGAGUGCAAGAACCCAGUUGAGGAUGGAAUUCUCAGAAUCGAAGAUCUUUCGAUAGAGUUCCCGUCUCUAUCGCAAGACCAGGCUUAGGGUAUAUAUUGGUCCCUAGUAAGUCCCGGUUGUUUUCAGGAAGCCUUCUUGAACGAGAAGAUCAAGGUCAAUGGAAAGACCGGACAUUUGGCCGCUAACAACGUCAAGGUCGAGGUCGCCAAGUCCAAGGUCUCAGUCGUCUCCGAGGUCCCAUUCUCGAAGAGAUACCUCAAGUACCUUACCAAGAAGUACCUCAAGAGAAACUCCCUCCGUGAUUGGCUCCGUGUGGUCGCUGUCAACAAGAACACCUACGAGGUCAGAUACUUCCACAUCAACGACGGAGAGGACGCAGGAAGCGACCACGAGUAA